UGGCGAGUGGCGAACGGGUGAGUAAUAUAUCGGAACGUACCCGGAAAUGGGGGAUAACGUAGCGAAAGUUACGCUAAUACCGCAUAUGCCCUGAGGGGGAAAGCGGGGGAUUCGUAAGAACCUCGCGUUUUCGGAGCGGCCGAUAUCGGAUUAGCUAGUAGGUGAGGUAAAGGCUCACCUAGGCGACGAUCCGUAGCUGGUUUGAGAGGACGACCAGCCACACUGGAACUGAGACACGGUCCAG
rnacentral:rRNA from 1 species